rnacentral:rRNA from 1 species
UGCGUAGGGUGCGAGCGUUAAUCGGAAUUACUGGGCGUAAAGUGUGCGCAGGCGGCCGCGCAAGUCGAGUGUGAAAGCCCCGGGCUUAACUCGGAAAGGUCAACUGAUACUGUGCGACUAGAGUGCAGAAGGGGCAACUGGAAUUCUCGGUGUAGCGGUGAAAUGCGUAGAUAUCGAGAGGAACACCUGCGGCGAAGGCGGGUUGCUGGGCUGACACUGACGCUGAUGCGCGAAAGCCAGGGGAGCGAACGGG